UUCUUCUCCAAACGCUUGUCACCAGCGGAAAGGAACUAUGACAUUGGGAACCGAGAGCUGCUGGCAGUUAUCCUGGUUCUUCAAGAAUGGAGGCACUGGCUGGAGGGGCCAAACAUCCUGUCAUCAUAUACACUGAUCAUCGUUACCUAGCCUACCUUUGCUCUGCUCAACGCCUCAAUCCCCGCCAGGCCCGUUGGUCACUAUUCCUCACAAGAAGACACCCCCCCAGAGACCAUCAUUCCCCAGUCCCGGAUCAUUGGUGCAGUACAGUGGAAAAUUGAGAAGCGUGUGUCGGAGGCUACCAGGGACUCUCCUACUCCGGCUGGUUGCCCCCCUGGUCGCCUUUUUGUACCAAAGACUCUCCGUCCAGAAGUUUUGUAUUGGGCUCACUCCUCCAAGAUCGCCUGCCACCCUGGGGCCAAACGCACUGAGUUCCUACUGACUCAGCGGUUUUGGUGGCCAACCGUUCAAAAAGACACAAGGAGAUUUGUGGCCGCAUGCCAGGUCUGCGCCAGGAGCAAACCAUCCCAUAUGGCUCGGGCGGGGUUGCUGCAGCCCCUCCUCAUCCCCUCUCGUCCAAGGUCAAAUAUUGCUCUGGACUUCGUCACAGACUUCCCCCCUUCCUGGAAACCGCAAAAUUGCUGGUCACCCACGUGGUUCGUCUUCACGGAAUCCCAAUGGAUGUGGUAUCAGACAGAGGACCUCAGUUUUCUUCGGCUACAUGGAGAGCAUUCUGCAACAUGUUGGGGGCGACCGUCAGUAUGUCAUCAGGAUACCACCCGCAAUCUAAUGGAUAAUCCGAAAGAGCCAACCAGGACUUGGGAGCGGCCUUGAGAUGUGUCUGUCACCAACAUCCAGCAUUGUGGUCCACCUAUCUCCCUUGGGUGGAGUAUGCCCGUAA